rnacentral:rRNA from 14 species
AAGCUAGACGAAGCAGCCAAAAACUGCACCAAAGAAGGUGAUAGUCCUGUAGUCGAAAGUGGAAAGAUACUAGCUUAAUCCCGAGUAGCACGGGGCACGAGAAAUCCCGUGUGAAUCAGCGAGGACCACCUCGUAAGGCUAAAUAUUCCUGAAUGACCGAUAGUGAAAUAGUACCGUGAGGGAAAGGUGAAAAGUACCCCGGAAGGGGAGUGAAAGAGAACUUGAAACCGUGUGCUUACAAGUAGUCAGAGCCCGUUAAUGGGUGAUGGCGUACUUUUUGUAGAACGGACCGGCG